GCCGGGUGUGUUGGCACACACCUGUAGUCCCAGUUACUCAAGAGACUGAGGCAGGAGAAUUGCUUGAGUCCAGGAGGUGGAGGUUGCAGUGAGCCGAAAUGCGCCACUGCACUCCAGCCUGGGCUACAGAGCAAGACUCUGCCUCAA
rnacentral:SRP_RNA from 1 species